rnacentral:rRNA from 1 species
CUAAGCUUAGUGGCGGACGGGUGAGUAACGCGUGGGUAACCUGCCUCACACUGGGGAUAACAGUUAGAAAUAGUUGCUAAUACCGCAUAAGCGCACGGUUCCGCAUGGAACAGUGUGAAAAACUCCGGUGGUGUGAGAUGGACCCGCGUCUGAUUAGCCAGUUGGCGGGGUAACGGCCCACCAAAGCGACGAUCAGUAGCCGGCCUGAGAGGGUGAACGGCCACAUUGGGACUGAGACACGGCCCAAACUCCUACGGGAGGCAGCAUG